GACGUAGGGCGCAAGCGUUGUCCGGAUUUACUGGGCGUAAAGGGCGCGUAGGCGGCCACCGCAAGUCAGUUGUGAAAUCUCUGGGCUUAACCCAGAACGGUCAGCUGAUACUGCGGGGCUAGAGUGCAGAAGGGGCAACUGGAAUUCUCGGUGUAGCGGUGAAAUGCGUAGAUAUCGAGAGGAACACCUGCGGCGAAGGCGGGUUGCUGGGCUGACACUGACGCUGACAGGCGCGAAAGCUAGGGGAGCGAACGGG
rnacentral:rRNA from 1 species